GGGAGCCCUAGCACAGGUGCUGCAUGGCCGUCGUCAGCUCGUGCCCGUGAGGUGUUGGGUUAAGUCCCGCAACGAGCGCAACCCCCGCCGUUAGUUGCCAGCGGUUCGGCCGGGCACUCUAACGGGACUGCCCGCGAAAGCGGGAGGAAGGAGGGGACGACGUCUGGUCAGCAUGGGCCCUUACGGCCUGGGCGACACACGUGCUACAAUGCCCACUACAAAGCGAUGCCACCCGGCAACGGGGAGCUAAUCGCAAAAAGGUGGGCCCAGUUCGGAUUGGGGUCUGCAACCCGACCCCAUGAAGCCGGAAUCGCUAGUAAUCGCGGAUCAGCCAUGCCGCGGUGAAUACGUUCCCGGGCCUU
rnacentral:rRNA from 1 species